rnacentral:lncRNA from 1 species
UCACCCUGAAAGAUGAAACAGAGAUGAAAGCAGUCACCAAUUUUCUCUNNNNNNNNNNAGCGAGACUUUUCACCCUGAUGAAAGCAGUCACCAAUUUUCUCUAAUUAUUUUGCAAUUAAGCAUCCGAGCACCCCAGAUAGCGUGGACUCCCACAGCUCUUAAACCAAAUACCUGACUGUCUGAAAUUAAUUAUAAAAAUGGAUCAAGGGGUGGUUUUCACGUGGUGGCUGAUGAAUGCUUUCCGAGUCUUGUUUUCCUGUUCGUUUACUGUGGUACGUAAGAGGUACAGAACAUAAAAUUCACCGUGUGGGCCAUUUUUGUUUGUUAGUUUGUUUCUGAGACGGAGUCUCGCUAUGUCGCCCAGGCUGGAGUGCAGUGGCGUGAUCUCGGAUCACUGCAACCUCCACCUCCUGGUUCAAGUGAUUCUCCUGCCUCAGCCUUCUGAGUAGCUGGGAUGACAGGCGCCCACCACCACGCCUGGCUAAUUUUUUGUAUUUUUAGUAGACACAGGGUUUCACCAUGUUGGCCAGGCUGGUCUCGAACUCCUGACCUUGUGAUCCGCCCGCCUCAGCCUCCCAAAGUCCUGGGAUGACAGGCGUGGAUACACAUUCUAGCUCAUUUCCCCAUGGAAUUUUUAUUUUUAUUUUUUGAGAUGAGUCUCUCUCUGUUGCCGAGGCUGGAGUGCAAUGGUGUGAUCUCAGCUCACUGCAACCUCCGUCUCCCGGGUUCAAGCGAUUCUCNNNNNNNNNNUCCCCGUUGGGUGACAGACCAAGAUUAUUCUCUCAUAAAAAAAAAAAUCAAAAAAAAAAUUGGGGCCACGUAGAUGGAAGGACAAGAAUAAAGAAACUGAGGCCGGGUAUGGUGGCUCACGCCUGUAAUUCCAGCACUUUGGGAGUCCGAGGUGGGUGGAUCACCUGAGGUCGGGAGUUCGAGACCAGCCUGACCAACACGGAGAAACCCUGUCUCAACUAAAAAUACAAAAAUUAGCCAGGCAUGGUUUUAACAUAAACCAUGUUACAUCAAACAUAACAUAUGUUUGAUUUUAACAUAAAAAAAAAGGGCUGCCUUCUGCUUGCAAAAGAAAUGCACACAGGCUGCUGGCAGAGAGUUCUGGAAGAUGAUAAAGGAAAAAAAUAAAUUAAUUCGAGAAAACUUUGAGACACCUAACAGCACAAAUACCCUCAGUCUUUAGAGAACAGCUGGGGAUACACAUUCUAGCUCAUUUCCCCAUGGAAUUUUUAUUUUUAUUUUUUGAGAUGAGUCUCUCUCUGUUGCCGAGGCUGGAGUGCAAUGGUGUGAUCUCAGCUCACUGCAACCUC